AUGGACCUCAUGGGCAGGAAUGUGCAUCAGCGCUGGUUCCUCCUCUUUCUGGUGGCAGCUCCCGGAUGUGUCCUGUCCCAGGUACAGCUGCAGGAGUCGGGACCAGUCCUGGUGACGCCCUCGCAGACGAUGUCCCUCACCUGUUUGGUCUCUGGAUUCUCAUUAACCAGUGACCAUGUGCACUGGGUCCGCCUGCUCCGUGGAAAGAGACUGGAUUGGAUUAGUGUUAUGUAUACUGAUGGGGGAACAAAUUAUAACCCAAGUCUUAAGUCCCGAGUCAGCAUCUCCAGGGACACCGCCAAGAACCAAGUUUACCUAAAAUUGAGCAACUCAGUGACUGAGGACACAGCCGUGUAUUAUUGUGCAAGAGCCACAGAAACACAGGGACCAGAAGAAAUGAUCAAUGCUUGGAAGUUUCCUACAAGUGAGUUCGGGGGACGAAGGACAGAAAAGGACCAGUAUGACAGGAAUAGUUAG